CAGCGAGUAGCUCAAUGGUAGAGCAAAAGUCUAAAACUAUUAUCCGCUAUUCAGCACCGAUGAUUCCUAUAAGGAACACUUUGGGUUGCUGGUUCGAGUCCAGUCUCGCUGU
rnacentral:tRNA from 1 species